rfam:Ictidomys tridecemlineatus contig111541, whole genome shotgun sequence.
GGGGUUGUAGCUCAGAGGUAGAACACUUGCCUAGCAUGCAUGAGGCACUGGGUUCGAUUCUCAGCACCA